UGUAACAAGAUGGCAGAGAUUCGUUUGUACAAACAAUUCGUUUGCUUUGUUAAGUGGUGCUGAAAUAAAGGGACGUGUUUCGUGUUAAUGUGUUAUGUAGCAUUCUGUGAAUUUUGUUGUGUGAUGGUGACAGUACUUUGAAGAAAGUUAAUGUUUAGUGCAAACAUAAGUUUGUAAUUUGAAGCAGUUUCGAGAGUUCACGACGCUAUCGAAGACCUUGCACAUCACCAGUUCCAGAAGAGACAAGGAGAUAAACCAGAAAAUGGAAAAGGGAUAUUGUUCUGACGUCAGCGAUGGCGUCACACAGCAUGGCGGCUGCAAGGACCGCGCUACUGGGAUGCUGCCAUCGAUCGGAUCUCGCCCGGACACGUCAGGACCCCCUCCCCGCCGGCCCGCCCGUCCCCUUUGCUCAUUCAAAUAUUCUCUUUGAUCUCUGUCCACACCUGUUUCUGUCCGAUGAUUCCUUCUUGCCCGUCCUGCGUGCCAAUAUCUAACACGAACUGACUCUGUGGAGAACAUUCUUACUUGUAAACUUUGUACCUGCUCAGCCGCUAAAGGCAGUGUCGAAAAGCUCAGGUCCUCAGAUCCUAUAUCGAGCAACUUCAAUCCAAUUCACAUUCUAAAAUCCUGUUUAUCUCAAGGUCCAUUUUAAUAUUAUACUCCCACUGACGUCAAUUUAUCGUAAGAUGUCUCUUCCUUUCAUGUUUACCAAAUACAGUAUCUAAUAUUUAUUAAUUCCUUCACGCAUUCUACAUGACCAGAUCAUCAAAAUUUCCUUGGUAUAAUCCUCUGUUAACGUCAGAGAAAGUACAAAUCACACAGCGGCUUAGCACGUCACUUUCUCCGUUUUCCUUCAACUUUCCCUUUCUUAGGUCAAAAUAUUCUCGCCAGAAAUUUGUCCUCAGACACCCACAAUCCAUUAUUAUUCCUUUGGGGCGACAGUGCAAAUCAAAGCCAGCUGGUGAUAUGGAGACGCUUAUAUCGAAGACUUAAGCAGCUUAUACCUCAUAUCAUCCUUUGAAAGGGUUACAAAGUUCAAAUAUCUGGGAACAACAAUAAAUCAAAA